rnacentral:rRNA from 1 species
CAGUCGCCACGGGAAUACGAAGGGGGCUAGCGUUGCUCGGAAUUACUGGGCGUAAAGGGAGCGUAGGCGGACAUUUAAGUCAGGGGUGAAAUCCCGGGGCUCAACCUCGGAAUUGCCUUUGAUACUGGGUGUCUUGAGUAUGAGAGAGGUGUGUGGAACUCCGAGUGUAGAGGUGAAAUUCGUAGAUAUUCGGAAGAACACCAGUGGCGAAGGCGACACACUGGCUCAUUACUGACGCUGAGGCUCGAAAGCGUGGGGAGCAAACAGGAUUAGAUACCCGCGUAGUCCCUGUCUCUUAUAC